rnacentral:lncRNA from 1 species
GCUCAUAUCAAAUUGCAUAUGAGGCAAGAUAAGCUUUCAAGAUGCAUCGGGAAGUUUACGCGUGCGGAAAACCGACAGGAAAAGAAUUCACCUAAACGGUCGCGAGUUCAGCGCAACGUUGAAACUUCAGGUACUUUGCUUCCUUGUCAUUUGCCCUUGCAGAGGUUGCAAUUAUUUAAACUGCUCCGUACGCGCGAUUUUUGUAUGCUACUUAACAAAUUAAAAUUGUGACAACCCCAAAAGGCCAUGUCGUCUCAUGGGGAUCGAACACCUCGUUGUAUUGGGAACUCGCAUAGGUGUGUCUACAGCAUACGAAGCAAAUGUGAAAAUGCACUUCGUUUGCUACGUAGCGCAUCAAUGAACGCAUAGAAAUCGGAGAA